AACUAACAAGGAUUCCCCUAGUAACGGCGAGUGAAGAGGGAAGAGCCCAAGAUUGAAAGCUGGCGUCUUCGGCGUCCGCAUUGUAAUCUCAAGAAGUGUUUUCCGCUUCGGACCAAGCCUAAGUCCCUUGGAAAAGGGCAUCAUAGAGGGUGAUAAUCCCGUACAUGGCUUGGAGCGCCCGAGGCUUUGUGAUACGCUUUCUAAGAGUCGAGUUGUUUGGGAAUGCAGCUCAAAAUGGGUGGUAAAUGCCAUCUAAGGCUAAAUAUUGGGGAGAGACCGAUAGCGAACAAGUACAGUGAUGGAAAGAUGAAAAGAACUUUGAAAAGAGAGUUAAACAGUACGUGAAAUUGCCAAAAGGGAAGGGUAGGAGGUCAGAGAUGCGGCCUGGGAUUCAGCCUUGCUUUUGCUUGGUGUUUUUCCCAGAUUGCAGGCCAACGUCGGUUUUGGGCACUGGAGAAGGGUAGGAGGAACGUGGCACCCCUCGGGGUGUGUUAUAGCCUCCUACUGGAUACAGCGACCGAGACCGAGGACAGCAGCGUACUCGUAAGAGCGGGCCCUCGGGCACCUUUACGCUUAGGGCGUUGGCAUAAUGGCCCUCUA
rnacentral:rRNA from 1 species